UACGAAGGGGGCUAGCGUUGCUCGGAAUCACUGGGCGUAAAGCGCACGUAGGCGGCUUUCUAAGUCAGGGGUGAAAUCCUGGAGCUCAACUCCAGAACUGCCUUUGAUACUGGAGAGCUUGAGUCCGGGAGAGGUGAGUGGAACUCCGAGUGUAGAGGUGAAAUUCGUAGAUAUUCGCAAGAACACCAGUGGCGAAGGCGGCUCACUGGCCCGGUACUGACGCUGAGGUGCGAAAGCGUGGGGAGCAACAGGGAGU
rnacentral:rRNA from 1 species